rnacentral:lncRNA from 1 species
GGGAUUAAGUGCAAAAAGGAAAAUUGGAAAUGGUCCAAUAGGCAAAACUUAGCCUAUUUCAGUUGCCCUAGUAGCUUGCCUUUAAAGGCAUUGCUAAUGGAAUCUCAAUGGAGAUUUUUUGAGAGAUUUCGGCAAGAUAAGAAUUGACAAAAAAUAAAGACGACAAAAAAUUUGGGGGAGAAAUACUGUUUCAUAAAACUCUUCUGAGAUUUCUUCAGUUUUCUAAUUCUUGAAAUAAUUUGUGAUCUAAUAUGGCUUGAGAUGAUUUGAGUUUGAUGGUUUAAAAGUUUGGUUUGAAGUUUCUGGUUGAUUUUUUGUUGAUUAUUGCACUUUAUUCUGGGUUUAAAGCUGAUUUUUCUUGGUCAUCUCUGCUGCUAACCACUGCUUCUGACUAUUUUUGGUUGCUGAUCUUCUCACCCCCUUUCUUAUUUCAAUUUCCAGGUACAUAUUCUGAAACCUGCAUAAUGUGAUCUUCAAGUUGAAAGUGAAAUGAAAAAAUAGAAGUUUGGAAUUUGAUAUUCAGUCGUGUGUGAUGUAUAUGUGGUAAGCUUGCUAUUUGAAUCCUUUCUCUAUGUAAAUCUUAGCUUGUUAUGCUGGAUACUAAGGUUGCUUAAGUUCCUGUGGAUCUAAUGUGGAUCCUGUUGGUUAGAGUUAGUAGUAGCUUAUUCAGUUUGAAUGGCUUUUUUGAUUGCUGAAGUUAUAUAGAUUCUACUGCUGUUGUAGAUGCAGAUUUGGUAUUGCCCUUUUAAUAAUUUUGUUAGAGAUAUGUUUUAGUUAUAAUAAUUAGACUCUUGUCACUCCUGAAGUAUGAAAAAUAUUAAGGAUUAAUUGUAGGCUAUAUGGUAGUAUAGUGUUGAUUUUCAAGUGUUAAUGAGGUUUAUUAUCAUGUUUGAAAUGUUAGUUUUAAAUUUUGAGUUUGAAGUUAGAAGGUCAACUGGGAUCCAGGGUCAGAAUUAAAAAUAUGUAACCAUAUCAAGCUAUUUUCUGAUUUCAUACUCAGCACAGGAUGAAGUUUAUGUUCUUUGAAAAUUUGUAUAAUCACUAAUAGAUUGUUUGAUGUAAGUAUGCCAAAUUGAUAAAGGAUAAAAUAGCUCAGUAC